ACCAAUCUAAACAUAGGACGCAACAUAAACAACGUUACACUUAAAUUUCGAAGUGAAAACAAAUCCACAAAAUUGAAUUGAUGCUCGUAGAAGAGACGUGAUAUAUAUAAAUCCAGAUUGAGUAUGGACAGAAAGAGCUCCAAAUGGCCCGACAUAGAAUCCUGAGAUUUACACAAGUACACUAUGUUUACCAAAUGGAGGAUCCAUCUCAGUAUCUCCCAUGUCUAAUAACACUAACCCCAGACUGAAAAAAAAAGAAUCCCUAAACACCAAAGAGUCUGCACUUCAUAGAGCCCACCUAUGAGGAACUGAGUCUAGGUCGUCGAAGUCGAACCUCUGUCGCUCCUUCCCGACCUGCGCCACAACAAAAAUUGAGCCAACAGUCACUUCCAAUGUUCCAAAAUCACCUAAGCAAUUGUAGGUAGGUGAAUCAAGGUAGACCACGGAUAACGUUACCUUUCCUAGGUAUAAUGGAUGGCAUGACAUCUGAUUAUCCAUUGUUGUCAACUUAGUCGACAGU
rnacentral:lncRNA from 1 species